GUAUGUCGAACCUGGGCGAGACGAGUAUGUUCCUUAGUCUUUAGACCCGUGCGACUUUUGCGGCACAUUAUAAUCCAAGAGAGGAAUGUGUAGCCGAUGGCAGCCUGAAAAUGUGAAUACAUUUGAAAUGACAAGCACCGGCAUUA
rnacentral:sRNA from 1 species